UACAGAGGUGGCAAGCGUUGUUCGGAUUUACUGGGCGUAAAGGGUGCGUAGGUGGUUGCCCAUGUCGGGUGUGAAAGCCCACGGCUCAACCGUGGAAUGGCAUUCGAAACGGGGUAACUAGAGUGCAGGAAGGGAGAGCGGAAUUCUUGGUGUAGCGGUGAAAUGCGUUGAUAUCAAGAAGAACACCGGUGGCGAAGGCGGCUCUCUGGAAUGCUACUGACACUGAGGCACGAAAGCUGGGGGAGCAAACAGG
rnacentral:rRNA from 1 species